rnacentral:sRNA from 1 species
CCACCUGCAUGUAGCUGCCUUACCUCAAAGCCAGAGAAGCUCGACACCGUCAAGUGAAAUUGGAGCCACCCCCCCAAGCAGCCCCCACCACAUCCUAACCUGGCAGACUGGGAGCUACAAUGAUAGCUGUUUCCUGGAUUCCUCCCUCUAUCCAGAACUAGCUGAUGUCCAGUGGUACGGGCAGGGAAAAGCCAAGCCCGGGACCCUCGUGUGAGCCAGCCCGGCCUAAUCUGACCGCCUCAACGCCAUUCUGAGAUCACCUCACUGCCUCUCAUUUGCCUUACCCAGACGCACCGUCACCCUGCACCAGCUUCGGCCCUCAGCACUUUUUUUCUCCUGUCUCCGCAUUCCCUCCCCCUUGAAAACCUGACUGAGGAGACAUUCUGGAAGGUUCCGGUCCCACUGUGUGUCCCCUGGCGCUCUUGCCCAUAGAGAGCCAGACACCAAUCCUCAAUGGCACCUUGGUGGCUUCCCUCUGCCAUGACAGCCCCUAGGCCAGGAACCAUCGGGGGGCCAGCCGGCAUCCAAUUCCUGCGGAUAAGUAGCCUUGGGAGAGAACGGGAAAGGGGACUUGAGUUACAGGGUGACCCAGAAAGACGAUUCAGCUGUGUCCAGCCUGCCGCCCAUACGUAGGCCAACCAAGCACUUCAUGAAGAGGAGGCCUCGUGGUAUAUUCAGUUUACACCUGAAAUAUUCCUUGAUGGGACAGCUUGUGGGAGUGGCUAUGGGGGAAGGGGAGGAUGAGAAAGGAAGCUCUCGACACCAGAAAUGCAUCAGAGGACCACAAUCAGUUCUAUGCUGCCAAAGAUUAAAAAUAAAUAACAUAAAAAAUUAAGAGGGGCCAAGAGGAAGACAUUCUUUCUGCAAGGAA